AUUCCAGCUCCAAUAGCGUAUAUUUAAGUUGCUGCAGUUAAAAAGCUCGUAGUUGGAUUUCGGGUGGGAAUGGCCGGUCCGCCGUUUCGGUGUGCACUUGCUAGUCCCACCUUGCUGCCGGGGACGUGCUCUUGGGUUUCGGCUCGGGACACGGAGUCGGCGAGGUUACUUUGAGUAAAUUAGAGUGUUCAAAGCAGGCCUACGCUCUGAAUACAUUAGCAUGGAAUAACACGGUAGGACUCUGGCCUAUCUUGUUGGUCUGUAGGACCGGAGUAAUGAUUAAGAGGGACAGUCGGGGGCAUUCGUAUUUCAUUGUCAGAGGUGAAAUUCUUGGAUUUAUGAAAGACGAACUACUGCGAAAGCAUUUGCCAAGGAUGUUUUCAUCG
rnacentral:rRNA from 1 species